rnacentral:misc_RNA from 1 species
GUUGUGUCCUCUCUGCUUUGCUGGCCUUAACCUUUGUUUUGUGUAGUUUUGGAAGGGGAACUUCAAACAUUAUUGGUAUAUCAAUGGUUAAAACAUCUCCUUUCUCUUGUGAUCUAAUUUUCCCAUUUUCUUUUUUCUUUCUCCAUUUUAUAGUUCUCUCUUAUAAUUAACUUCAAUCUUAUGCCCUUUAUUAUUAUUAUUAUUAUU